ensembl:lncRNA
AAAUGUGGCCUUUAUCCUUCUUCCCCCCACCAGAGGUUAACAAGUUCUUUCUCCACAACACGGAAGCUUCCUCCUGCUGAGGUGAUUCAACAACAAACAUCACAGAGCAGCACGACUCCUCCUCACCCACAGAACACAACACACUGCAUCCUCACAACACACUGCACCAUCACAACACAACACACUGCAUCCUCACAACACACUGCACCAUCACAACACAACACACUGCAUCCUCACAACACACUGCACCAUCACAACACAACACACUGCAUCAUCACAACAUACUGCACCAUCACAACACAACACACUGCAUCCUCACAACACAACACACUGCACCAUCACAACACAACACACUGCAUCAUCACAACACACUGCACCAUCACAACACAACACACUGCACCAUCACAACACACCACACUGCAUCAUCACAACACACUGCACCAUCACAACACACUGCAUCCUCACAACACACUGCACCAUCACAACACAACACACUGCAUCAUCACAACAUACUGCAGCAUCACAACACAACACACUGCAUCCUCACAACACAACACACUGCACCAUCACAACACAACACACUGCAUCAUCACAACACACUGCACCAUCACAACACAACACACUGCAUCCUCACAACACACUGCACCAUCACAACACAACACACUGCAUCCUCACAACACAACACACUGCACCAUCACAACACAACACACUGCAUCAUCACAACACACUGCACCAUCACAACACAACACACUGCACCAUCACAACACACCACACUGCAUCAUCACAACACACUGCACCAUCACAACACAACACACUGCAUCCUCACAACACACUGCACCAUCACAACACAACACACUGCAUCAUCACAACAUACUGCACCAUCACAACACAACACACUGCAUCCUCACAACACAACACACUGCACCAUCACAACACAACACACUGCAUCAUCACAACACACUGCACCAUCACAACAGAACACACUGCAUCCUCACAACACACUGCACCAUCACAACACAACACACUGCACCAUCACAACACAACACACUGCAUCCUCACAACACACUGCACCAUCACAACACAACACACUGCAUCAUCACAACACACUGCACCAUCACAACACAACACACUGCAUCCUCACAACACAACACACUGCACCAUCACAACACAACACACUGCAUCAUCACAACACACUGCACCAUCACAACACAACACACUGCACCAUCACAACACACUGCAUCAUCACAACACACUGCACCAUCACAACACAACACACUGCAUCCUCACAACACAACACACUGCACCAUCACAACACAACACACUGCAUCAUCACAACACACUGCACCAUCACAAAACACUGCACAUCACAACACAUCACACUGCACCAUCACAACACAACACACUGCACCAUCACAACACAACACACUGCAUCAUCACAACACACGACCAUCACAACACAACACACUGCAUCCUCACAACACACCCAUCACAACACAACACACUGCAUCAUCACAACACACUGCACCAUCACAACACAACACACUGCAUCCUCACAACACAACACACUGCACCAUCACAACACAACACACUGCAUCAUCACAACACACUGCACCAUCACAAAACACUGCAUCAUCACAACACAUCACACUGCACCAUCACAACACAACACACUGCACCAUCACAACACAACACACUGCAUCAUCACAACACACUGCACCAUCACAACACAACACACUGCAUCCUCACAACACACUGCACCAUCACAACACAACACACUGCAUCAUCACAACACACUGCACCAUCACAACACAACACACUGCAUCCUCACAACACAACACACUGCACCAUCACAACACAACACACUGCAUCAUCACAACACACUGCACAUCACAAAACACUGCAUCAUCACAACACAUCACACUGCACCAUCACAACACACUGCACCAUCACAACACAACACACUGCCCCCUCACAACACACUGGCCCCUCACAACACACUGCACCAUCACAACACAACACACUGCACCAUCACAACACAAUACACACUGCACCCUCACAACACACUGCACCAUCACAACACAACACACUGCAUCAUCACAACACACUGCACCAUCACAACACAACACACUGCCCCCUCACAACACACUGCACCAUCACAACACAACACACUGCCCCCUCACAACACAACACACUGCACCAUCACAACACACUGCACCAUCACAUCACACUGCACCAUCACAACACACUGCACCACAGGUCAACACACCAUCACAACAUGGCAGAGGAGAAGAGAAACAGAUUCAGUAA